GAUUUAUAAUUUGUAGUAUAGGUAUGGUAAUAUAAUAUAGGAGUUUGGUGUAGUUAGUAACAUCUAGGUUUUCAAAACCUAAGUGGAGGGUGCAAUUCCCUCAACUCUUGCAAUACUAUGGGUAAUAUCUAAUGUUUAUUUAUGUUGUAAUAUUUAAUUUAAGAUAGUGUGUGAGGUUGACGGCGUCGUAAAGUUACAAAGAAAAGAGGAAAAAGCGUUGAGAUAAGCUUUUGCAAAAGCAAAGUAAAAGAUUAUAGUAGCGUAGUGGGAAAAAAUAAAAUAUAAAAGAUAGAAGAUGAUUCUAAUUUUAUAGAAAAAAGUUUAAUACAAAAAAUCGUAAUAAGUGAAAGGAGAGUAGUGGGGUUAGUUAUAAAGGGUGAAGUACUUAUAAUCGAGAAGUGGAAAUUCAAUGAAUAAAACUGAUAGUGAAUAAGUACUGUGAGGGAAUGAAAAAAUAAAAGAACAAAGAUAGUAAAUUUACCUUGUGUAUUAGGUAUCAUUGACUUACAAUUGAUUGGCGAGGUGAUAAACCGAAUGAGUCGACAAUUGUAAACACGAAGCGUAUUGAUCUACGCAAGUCUAGAUUUAAAAGAUCUAACUAGUGUUUGUAGCAACAAACUUAGGUAAGGCUUGCGUAGGGGUGAUAGGCCAAUCAAAAUACGUAAUAGCUUGUUGUCUUUGAACUACGUUUAGCGUAGCGGGUUGGGGAUAGUAUAGUAGGUAAUCUUUUAGAAAAGGUUGCGAACUAUGUGAGAAGGUUACGGGGGAGUGGGUGUAUUUGCUUGAAGGUAAAUACACAAAAAGAAAAAAGUCUAGGUAAUUAUUUAAAAUAUUAAAUAAUAACGUAGCAAAACGGAGGUGUCAUUGGGUAGAAGUAGAUUUUUAAUAGUAGCUUUAGUAGUAAGUAUUAAAUAUAAAGUAUAAAAACUAAAAAAAUAAACCAAUGAUACCCUAGGAAUUUAUGGUAAAGGGUUAGAGUAUUGAAAAUAUUAAAUUAAGUUAAAUUGGUAAAAGACCGUCAAUUUAAUGAAAUUUAUUUAAAGAGUGAGAAUGAAAAUUGAGUGAGAGUGAUGAUAUGAGUAAGAGUAAUAGGGGGUGUUGUAUUGUAUAUAGGAGAGUCAUUGCUAAAGGACAGUAGAUAGGAAAGUAUUUGAAGACAAAGGUGAAGACCGUAGUUAAAAAUAAUUACAUAUCGAUUGGAGAUAAAGCAAAGGUAAGCGAGUUCAAGUGUAAUUGAAUAAACUUAAUUAAAGCCGACACAGGUAUACAAUGCAAGUAGCAAACCAAUAGAGUGACAAUCGUUAAGGGAAUUCGGCAAAAUGGUGACGUAACAAAGCGAGAAGUUAAUCUAAAGGUUUGAUUUGAGAGAGAAGGAGAGAGAGUGGGGUCUAUUUAAUAAAAAUAUAGGGGUCGUGGUAUGGAGCAAUCUAAUGAGAAGUGAUUUCGAUGCUUGCCCGGUGGCUUGAGCCGGAUAAAGUUGAUGAAGUUAAUGUAGAAAGCAAAGUUAAACGGUCGUCUUAACCUUGAGGAUGUGAAGGUAGUGUAAUCUAUUGGCUAUUGAUUGUAGUCUUAUGAAAGCAUAACCAUCGUUCUACUAUCCAUAAGGGUUACUUGGUGAAAUUGAAGUAGUUGUGCAGAUGCGAUUAGAGUGUGAAGGGACGAGAAGACCCUACACAUCUUUACUAUAAUACUUUUAUAAAAUUGAAGGAGUGGAAUAGUAUUGUAUUUUUUUAAGGUUGGUUGAGAGGGUUGGGUAGUUUAAUUGGGGCAAUAGCCUCCAAAAGAGUAAUGGGGGUUGUGCAAAGGGUGAGGAAUAGUAAUGUAAUAUUGGCUUGACAUAGAUAAAGACAUUUAUCAAGUUGGUAUGCAUUAAAGCGUAUGUCGUAGAUACCGGGUAAUUUUAAUCGAUAAGAUUAUCAACAAGGACGAAGAUACGUUAGGGGUAACAGGUCAAUUGUAAGCAAGAGAAUGUAAUCGAGAUUACGGUUUGAUACCUCGAUGUUGUAUAGGGAUUUCCUGGGGGGGCAUAGUCUCCCAAGGGUUAGUGUGUUCACCUAAUAAAAUCCUACUUGAUAUGAGUUGAAAACGCGGUGACGCAGUUUGGAUUCUAUCUUUCAUAUAAAAAGAAAAAGAAUAGUUUGAUUGGUACGAGAGGAAAUUUAAAGUGAUAAUCACUUAUGGGGGUUGGUAUGUAAAUGUAACAAAAUAAGUUACAUUUAUAAAAAGUAUAGCUUAAUAAAGCAAAAGCAGCAAAUAUGUUGUUUUUCUUUAUUAAGUUAGAGAGAAAACUAA
rnacentral:rRNA from 1 species